UUCAAAAUCGAAAAACGUUGGGUGUCGAUUGCCAAGAGAAGAACACACUGAAGAGUUCAAGCUCAGUCAAUUGUCAAGGACCUCCUGCACAGCAUCAUCUUCAAGGACAUUCAACCCAUGAGUGAAAUGAAGAUGCUGGUGGCACUGCAGUUGCUCCUUUACUUUGUCAUCUGCUCGUGUGACACGAAAUGUGCAACUUAUUACACUGAAAGCAAUAACAAUGGAAAAACGCUUCUU